GCCCUGUUGGGAUGUGAAGGAUAUGUGUGUUAUUUCUUCUAUGAAAUGCAGCCCCCAUUAGGGCUCUGCCCUCGCUAUGCUCCAGCCCGCCAACUGUGAAGUCCCCGGGGCCUCUGGCCAGUCACCUGCCGAAGCCUCGCUCUCCAGGAUCUCUGUAAAGAGGCACCCUACUCUAAUGCGUGCUUUCCGGGAAUAUUUGCUCUUGAGAUGGCUGAGAAUAAAAACCCAUUUCUAACAGGGUCCUUGCAGGUCCGGUGGCAUCCCUUCUCUAGCGGCUGCAUGCUGACACUUCGCUUCCUGCAUGGACCACUGGGCUCCUGGGUGUCUGGAAGGAGUCCACUGAAUUUCCAUGCAAACCUGGUGUCUGCUGAUGGGCCUGGUCUGAGAAGGGUUCCUGGGAUGGAGGACAAGGCUUUGGCACCCAGGAGCUCUGAACCCGAUGUUAGUAGUUUGGCCAGCUCAUCCUGGACAUUGGCUAAUGUCUCAUGCAUGGAGUGUGCUGGCCUGAAGGCCAAAGCUGGCCAGGGCAGGAAGUCGGCCCGAAAGGUCGGUGCCAGUUAACGAUACAACACAUAGCAGAGGCCUGAGGAUUCAGCGGGCUUGGCUAAAACCCUCGUUUGGCCUGCUUGCUAUUUCUCUUUUAUCCUGCUGACCAAGAGCUGUGUGACACCCUUGGACAGCAGUCACAUAUUUUCUUUUCAUGUAAAAAUAGUAAGCUGAAAUUUCAUACAGAAAAUGAGAAUUAUAUGUACAUUAAUCUUUAUGCCUACAAGAUACUGUGACAAACGAAAAGAGAAACCAAAAUAAAAUAUACAUUUUCUGGGAAGGAAAAUUUUAU
rnacentral:lncRNA from 13 species